GAUGAACGCUGGCGGCGUGCCUAAUACAUGCAAGUCGAGCGAACGGACGAGAAGCUUGCUUCUCUGAUGUUAGCGGCGGACGGGUGAGUAACACGUGGAUAACCUACCUAUAAGACUGGGAUAACUUCGGGAAACCGGAGCUAAUACCGGAUAAUAUUUUGAACCGCAUGGUUCAAAAGUGAAAGACGGUCUUGCUGUCACUUAUAGAUGGAUCCGCGCUGCAUUAGCUAGUUGGUAAGGUAACGGCUUACCAAGGCAACGAUGCAUAGCCGACCUGAGAGGGUGAUCGGCCACACUGGAACUGAGUCACGGUCCAGACUCCUACGGGAGGCAGCAGUAGGGAAUCUUCCGCAAUGGGCGAAAGACUGACGGAGCAACGCCGCGUGAGUGAUGAAGGUCUUCGGAUCGUAAAACUCUGUUAUUAGGGAAGAACAUAUGUGUAAGUAACUGUGCACAUCUUGACGGUACCUAAUCAGAAAGCCACGGCUAACUACGUG
rnacentral:rRNA from 1 species